rnacentral:rRNA from 1 species
CCUGCCUCAUACAGGGGGAUAACAGUUACAAAUGACUGCUAAUACCGCAUAAGACCACGGAGUCGCAUGACUCAGUGGGAAAAACUCCGGUGGUAUGAGAUGGACCCGCGUCUGAUUAGGUAGUUGGUGGGGUAACGGCCUACCAAGCCGACGAUCAGUAGCCGACCUGAGAGGGUGACCGGCCACAUUGGGACUGAGACACGGCCCAAACUCCUACGGGAGGCAGCAGUGGGGAAUAUUGCACAAUGGGGGAAACCCUGAUGCAGCGACGCCGCGUGAGCGAAGAAGUAUUUCGGUAUGUAAAGCUCUAUCAGCAGGGAAGAAAAUGACGGUACCUGACUAAGAAGCACCGGCUAAAUACGUGCCAGCAGCCGCGGUAAUACGUAUGGUGCAAGCGUUAUCCGGAUUUACUGGGUGUAAAGGGAGCGUAGACGGCUGUGUAAGUCUGAAGUGAAAGCCCGGGGCUCAACCCCGGGACUGCUUUGGAAACUAUGCAGCUAGAGUGUCGGAGAGGUAAGUGGAAUUCCCAGUGUAGCGGUGAAAUGCGUAGAUAUUGGGAGGAACACCAGUGGCGAAGGCGGCUUACUG